GUAGGUGAACCUGCGGAAGGAUCAUUAAAGAGAAUAUGCCCUUCGGGGUAGAUCUCCCACCCUUUGUUUAUAUUACCUUUGUUGCUUUGGCAGGCCCGUCUUUGGACCACCGGCUUCGGCUGGUCAGUGCUUGCCAGAGAACCCAAAACUCUUAUUAUUAAUGUCGUCUGAGUACUAUAUAAUAGUUAAAACUUUCAACAACGGAUCUCUUGGUUCUG
rnacentral:misc_RNA from 1 species